rnacentral:rRNA from 1 species
CUGCGCCACAAGUGGGAACCAUUUUUAUUGGGUCUAAAGCGUCCGUAGCCGGUUUUGUAAAUUCUCUGUGAAAUUGACCUGCUUAACAGGUCAGCGUGCAGAGAAGACUGCUUAACUUGGGACCGGGAGAGGUAUGAGGUAUUCUGGGGGGAGCGGUAAAAUGUUAUAAUCCUCAGAGGACUACCAAUGGCGAAGGCAUUAUACCAGAACGGAUCCGACGGUGAGGGACGAAAGCCAGGGCAGCGAACCGGAUUAGAUACCCGAGUAGUCC